AGCCUUUAGGAUCUGGCCUGUCUGCCCAGAUGAGCUGGGGGCUGAGUUUGCUGGAGUAUGGUAGAGAGGAAAAAACAUCAGGAAGAACUGAAUGGUACAUUUGUUUGAGAUUGACUGAAGACCUCAGCUGUAACAAAAAACAAACUCAGAGAGGGCAGAGAAAGACAACUGAGACCUCGCCAUACAAUGCCUUGGUUAGAGGCAGAGCAAAAGCCAGAAGAGGAGAGAAUCUCUGUCCUGAUAUUUUCCAGCCACUUGCUCCAGCUUCCUCACAUUAGGGUGUGACUCCAAGGUCAUUUCACCAGGCUGACUCUUGAUCACUGGGUUGCCAAUGGAUGGGGAAUCCAGCCCAGAGUGCCAGAACAGAAGCAAGACAAGCCUCCACAACAAAAACAAAAUAUACAAAUGGGACUUCAUUAAACUAAGAAGUUUCUGCACAGCAAAAUAAAUAGUUCACAGAGUAAACAGAAAAUCUACAGCAUAGAAGAAAAUACUUGCAAAUUAUACCUUCAACAAAUGACUCAUCCAGAAUUUACAAGGAACUCAAUGAGAAACAAACGAAUCCCAUUAAAACCUGGGCAAAGAACAUGAACAGACACUUCUCAAAAGAAAAAAUACAAGCAACCAACUAACAUAUGAAAAAAUAGAAUUUAUUUACGUUUACAGGUCUCUCCCUCUUCCCCAUGUCUCCUCCACUAAUCCCAUCUCCUGCCUGUGCCAUUUUACAGACACUGAACAUCCAAAUAUUUACACAAUAGGAAGAAACAGGAGACAUUUUUAUACUUGCUGUGUUUUUGCCACCCUAGCAAUGAUUCUCCCCAUGACCCACACUCAUGACAUUAGCACAGGAACUCCCUCAGUAAUAAGUGCCUGAGGGUUUGAUUAGCUCAAAGAAUGUUUGAAACUUACGUGUACUUCAGUAAACACAACUUCAUUGAAGGCUUCCUUUUACUUGGUAAGACCAGGCAUAGGUAAGAAUAAG
rnacentral:lncRNA from 1 species